rnacentral:rRNA from 1 species
UACGUAGGGCGCAAGCGUUGUCCGGAAUUAUUGGGCGUAAAGAGCUCGUAGGCGGCCAGUUGCGUCUGCUGUGAAAUCCCGGGGCUCAACCCCGGGCGUGCAGUGGAUACGGGUUGGCUAGAGGCAGGCAGGGGAGAACGGAAUUCCCGGUGUAGCGGUGAAAUGCGCAGAUAUCGGGAGGAACACCGGUGGCGAAGGCGGUUCUCUGGGCCCGUACUGACGCUGAGGAGCGAAAGCGUGGGGAGCGAACAGG